rnacentral:rRNA from 1 species
AAUGGGGUAAACCCUGACGCAGCAACGCCGCGUGAAGGAAGAAGGUCUUCGGAUUGUAAACUUUUGUCUUUGGGGAAGAUAAUGACGGUACCCAAGGAGGAAGCUCCGGCUAACUACGUGCCAGCAGCCGCGGUAAUACGUAGGGAGCGAGCGUUGUCCGGAAUUACUGGGUGUAAAGGGUGCGUAGGCGGCUGCGCAAGUCAGGUGUGAAAUCUAUGGGCUCAACCCAUAGCGUGCACUUGAAACUGCGCGGCUUGAGUGAUGGAGAGGUAAGCGGAAUUCCUAGUGUAGCGGUGAAAUGCGUAGAUAUUAGGAGGAACACCAGUGGCGAAGGCGGCUUACUGGACAUUAACUGACGCUGAGGCACGAAAGCGUGGGGAGCAAA